rnacentral:rRNA from 1 species
AACGUAGGAGGCGAGCGUUAUCCGGAUUUACUGGGUGUAAAGCGCGUGCAGGCGGUUCUGCAAGUGGGACGUGAAAGCGCCCGGCUCAACCGGGCGAGGACGUACCGAACUGCGGGACUAGAGGCAGGCAGAGGCGUGUGGAAUUCCGGGUGUAGUGGUGAAAUGCGUAGAGAUCCGGAGGAACACCAGUGGCGAAGGCGACACGCUGGGCCUGGCCUGACGCUCAGACGCGAAAGCAUGGGGAGCGAACGGG